rnacentral:rRNA from 1 species
AACGGCCGCGGUAUAUUGACCGUGCAAAGGUAGCAUAAUCAUUAGUCUUUUAAUAGGAGGCUGGAAUGAAAGGUUUAACGAGAAAUUGACUGUCUCAAUUACAAACUUGAAUUUAUCUUUUGAGUCAAAAGACUUAAAUUUAAUUGAUGGACGAGAAGACCCUAUAGAGCUUGACAGUUUUGUUUUUAUAUUUACUUAGUUUAUUAUUAUUUAUUUAUACUAAUAAAAUUGUUUUGUUGGGGUGACAAUAAAUAUAUAUUUAACUUUUAUCAUAAUAUAAACAUUAAUUUAUGAUUUUUGGAUCCAAAAAUUUUGAUCAUUAGAUUAAGUUACCUUAGGGAUAACAGCGUAAUCUUCCUUCAGAGUUCAUAUUUACGGGAAGGGUUGCGACCUCGAUGUUGGAUUAAGAUAAUAAUUAGGUGCAGUAGCUUAAUUAAUAGGUCUGUUCGAC